UGGGGAAUAUUGGACAAUGGAGGUAACUCUGAUCCAGCAAUUCUGUUUGUGUGAAGAAGGUUUUAGGACUGUAAAACACUUUUAGUAGGGAAGAAAAAAAUGACGGUACCUACAGAAGAAGCGACGGCUAAAUACGUGCCAGCAGCCGCGGUAAUACGUAUGUCGCGAGCGUUAUCCGGAAUUAUUGGGCUUAAAGAGCAUCUAGGCGGUUAAACAAGUUGAAGGUGAAAACCUGUGGCUCAACCAUAGGCUGGCCUACAAAACUGUAUAACUAGAGUAAUGGAAAGGAGGGUGGAACUACACGAGUAGAGGUGAAAUUCGUAGAUAUGUGUAGGAAUGCCGAUGAUGAAGAUAUCUCACUGUACAGAAACUGACGCUGAAGUGCGAAAGCUAGGGGAGCAAACAGG
rnacentral:rRNA from 1 species